UACAGAGGGUGCGAGCGUAAUCGGAAUUACUGGGCGUAAAGCGCGCGUAGGCGGCUUUGCAAGUCGGGUGUGAAAUCCCCAAGCUUAACUUGGGAACUGCAUUCGAGACUGCAUUGCUAGAGUAUGGGAGAGGGAAGUGGAAUUUCCGGUGUAGCGGUGAAAUGCGUAGAUAUCGGAAGGAACAUCAGUGGCGAAAGCGACUUCCUGGACCAAUACUGACGCUCAUGUGCGAAAGCGUGGGGAGCAAACAGG
rnacentral:rRNA from 1 species